rnacentral:rRNA from 1 species
CAAGGAACUAAGAGUUUAUGGGGGAUACCUUGGCAUUCAGAAGCGAUGAAGGACGUGGUUACCAACGAUAUGCUUCGGGGAGCUGGAAACAAGCUAUGAUCCGGAGGUCUCCGAAUGAGGAAACUUUAUUAAUAACUGCUUAUUGAAUACAUAGAUAAGUAAGAGCGAACCUA